GUCCGAUCCCCUGGGGUUGUCACAGCCCCGGGAGAAUUUGCCUCCAUCUCUCCCCUUCUCACGACACUUGGCCGCUCCUCAGGAGGUGCCCGGGCAGGAGGUUCGGGCAGGGCAGGGAGCAGCAGGCGCGAGUCUGCACAGAUAUCUGGGGCUGCCAGACCUUGCUCCUCCUGGCCCGUGUGCCAUCCGUGCCAGGGACCACCGUGCUGCUCCCGCCCAGCUCCGUGGGGCAGGUCCCCGGGCUGGUGGAGGGGGUCCAGGGUCAAUGGAGGCAGCGGGCGAUGGGAGCUGCUCGGCACGUGUCUGAACAAGGCUCGUCCGGGGAAAAUGAAUGUACGUGCAGGAGCUGGGCCAACAGCAGGCGCAGGGCCCUGGCAGCCCCGGCUGAGCUGACUCACCGGCCGGGCUCCCUCCCGGAGCAGCGGCAGCGCGGCACCUCCGCACAGUGGGUCCCGGUCCUGUCCUGGGCAGCAGAGGCUCUGAGGGCUUGGGGAGGGGUUUUCUGGGCUGCACGGUGCAGGAUUGGGCCCCGAGGUCUGGUGGUCCCAGUGGCACAGGGCUGGGGAAGGCUGUGGGUGUGCUUUGGGGUCUGCAUGUUGUCUUGUGCCGAUCUUGUUUGCCGGGGGGAGCAGGGUGGCCUGGUCUGGGUGCUGUGCAUGUGGCAGCGACCCUGAGCACAUGCCAGGAGAGAGGGAAGCAGUGCCCUGGCAUGAACCUGCAGCAGGGAAUGAGGGGCUGCUUGUGCCACAGCCCCACAAUGGCGGAGGUGGCAGCAGGGGUGGACAUGAGCAGAGGCUCCUGCCCUGCAGGGCAGAGGGACAGCAGUGCCAGCGGUGGCUGCAGCCGAGCCAGAACCUUUGGAGGUGGCCAGAGAGCAGGGAUAUGCUGGGUUUAUGGCCUGUAUCAUGAUGUGUUUAUGGUUGCGAUGAGGCAGAUGCUGCUCAGCUUUGCCCUACCCUGCCCGGCACGGCCGGUCCCUGCUCUGCAUCCUGGUGCCGGCAGGGUGGAGGAUCGCAGACGGACUUUGCUCUUCGAGGUGGAGCUCCCCGGGGCUCUUCCUGGCACCCCUGCCGUGUCUGCCGGCUGCUGGGGAUUGACAGCUCCUUCCCUGUUCGCUCCACAGGCAGCAACCCAGCAGGGACCCCGUGGUGGGGCAGGAUCCUGUCCGGUCCUGUUCGGUCCAGUCCUGUCCGGCCCUGGCGCUGCUUUGGUGCUGAGCCCUCCGCGUCACAUAGCAGCCACCGCAGAGCAGGCAGGGGCCGGAGAAGGGACUGGUGCCCGCCAGCGCCGUUCCAGAGAGCCAGGGCAGACGGUGCCUCUUCCCAUGGCAGCCAGGCCCCCAUGUAACACCAGCCAAACUGGACACCCCUGUCCCACGAGAGACCCCUGA
rnacentral:lncRNA from 12 species